GAUGAACGCUGGCGGCGUGCCUAAUACAUGCAAGUCGAGCGAACAGACGAGGAGCUUGCUCCUCUGACGUUAGCGGCGGACGGGUGAGUAACACGUGGAUAACCUACCUAUAAGACUGGGAUAACUUCGGGAAACCGGAGCUAAUACCGGAUAAUAUAUUGAACCGCAUGGUUCAAUAGUGAGAGACGGUUUUGCUGUCACUUAUAGAUGGAUCCGCGCCGCAUUAGCUAGUUGGUAAGGUAACGGCUUACCAAGGCAACGAUGCGUAGCCGACCUGAGAGGGUGAUCGGCCACACUGGAACUGAGACACGGUCCAGACUCCUCCGGGAGGCAGCAGUAGGGAAUCUUCCGCAAUGGGCGAAAGCCUGACGGAGCAACGCCGCGUGAGUGAUGAAGGUCUUCGGAUCGUAAAACUCUGUUAUUAGGGAAGAACAAAUGUGUAAGUAACUAUGCACGUCUUGACGGUACCUAAUCAGAAAGCCACGGCUAACUACGU
rnacentral:rRNA from 1 species